AUUGAACGCUGGCGGCAGGCCUAACACAUGCAAGUCGAACGAGUGGCGGACGGGUGAGUAAUGUCUGGGAAACUGCCUGAUGGAGGGGGAUAACUACUGGAAACGGUCGCUAAUACCGCAUACCAUCGGAUGUGCCCAGAUGGGAUUAGCUAGUAGGUGGGGUAAAGGCUCACCUAGGCGCCGAUCCCUAGCUGGUCUGAGAGGAUGACCAGCCACACUGGAACUGAGACACGUUCCAGACGCCUACGGGAGGCAGCAGUGGGGAAUAGUGCACAAUGGGCGCAAGCCUGAUGCAGCCAUGCCGCGUGUAUGAAGAAGGCCUUCGGGUUGUAAAGUACUUUCAGCGAGGAGGCGUUACCCGCAGAAGAAGCGCCGGCUAACUCCGUGCCAGCAGCCGCGGUAAUAC
rnacentral:rRNA from 1 species